UACGGAGGGUGCGAGCGUUUGUCCGGAAUCACUGGGCGUAAAGGGCGCGUAGGCGGCCUGAUAAGUAGGGGGUGAAAUCUUGCGGCUUAACCGCAAGGCUGCCUUCUAAACUGUCAGGCUAGAGCACAGUAGAGGCAGGUGGAAUUCCCGGUGUAGCGGUGGAAUGCGUAGAGAUCGGGAAGAACACCAGUGGCGAAAGCGGCUUCCUGGUCCAGCACCGACGUUCAGGCACGAAAGCGUGGGGAGCAAACAGG
rnacentral:rRNA from 1 species